rnacentral:rRNA from 1 species
GUCUAUGGCCAUGCCACCCUGAACAAGCCCGAUCCCAUCUGAUCUUGGAAACUAAGCAGGAUUGGGCCUGGUUAGUACUUGGAUGGGAGACCGCCUAGGAAGACCAGGUGCUGUAGGCA